AUGCAUCCGCAGGCACAAUCCCCACGACGGAUUUCGUCUGCCCUGACGGGAUGCAUCUCCGAACUCCCCAUCAGCUUGGUGGAAAAUUUCUCAUCGCGUGAUAAGCUGCAACAGAUCGUGACGGCGGCUUCUACUGUUAAAGAUGUUGAACAUGUAUCAGCGGUGAUCCAUAAUUCAAGUGUUGACCCUCGGCAUGCCUCUGCAUCUAGCCAUCGUACGGCCGAUCUCACGUGCCCUGCUACGUCUGCUGAAAAUACUAGUACUGCAGAAUAUGAAUCAAACUUGAGUAUGGUGGAUGGAGCUUCAGCUACAGAAUCAGGUAAAAGCUUGCAAACUCAAAUGAGCGAGGGAGAAUUUAGGACGCCAAGAAAGAAAGAAAGCAUUCCCCUAUUUUGCUCGUCUUUUACGCCAAGUUGCGACGAAAAUUUUGAAGGGCUUGAGGCUGUGGAGGAUUUCUACAAGUCGUAUGCACAUUAUGUGGGUUUUGGAGUUCGUGUCGGACAACAGAAAAUGUUGAACAAAGAAGUGGUUCAGACAAAGCGUUUCAUGUGCAGUAGAGGAGGAUUUAGGACUGAGAAGAACAAGGAGAUUAAAGACCCAUCAAACCAAUCAAUGAAAAGCCGUAAGAUACAACCACACGAUGCGGUUGUGAUGCACAUAUCUUCGUCAAGUUGUGUGGCGACAACACCUACAAGAUACAGUCAUGGGUUGAGUACCAUAGCCAUGGCCUUGUAUCACCUGAUAAACGUCACUUGA
rnacentral:rRNA from 1 species